GAGGCACGGAGCUGCGAGCGUGCGGGAGCAGGAGAGGAACCUAAGCAUCUGAUACCAUGUUAGGAGUGGGCAACUAAGCUUUACUGAGCCCAAAGGCCAUUACAUAUACAUGUAUGGUAAAGUGCAGGAAACCCCUUAUACAAUGGGGAUAUACCGAAAAGAGACUAUACACAUCAAACAGUUGCAUCAUUCAAAAGGCCAUAUGUGUUACUUUUGUUCUACUUCUCUUCCAUAUCCAGUUAUUUAGAAAUAGCUAUGGUAACCUUUUGGCACUUAAAUAGGAUUAGGUAUAAUGUGAAUCAUUUGCUUCAUUUGGUUGACAAGUUAUAGCUUUAGCUCUCAGGUACUGAAUGUUGGAUUGAUCCAUUUUGUUCUUUUGCGCCUGCUACUCCUUGAUGAUUCCUGUCGUGCUGCUGCUCGCUUGGUGUGUUGGAUUGGGGGCCGUGGAUUCAAUGGCAUCGGUGCGUCGCGAGGUUUGUUAAGGUGGCCUCUUCUCUCGGAUCCAAAUUUUUUCAUUGCCGUGGCCGUGCUUGACUAAUUUUAGAUCGGGUUUGUUGCAGGUCCUCUGUUUUAGCAGUCUGUGCACCGGAUCUUUUGUUGUGACCCUCGAUCUAUAUGUGCUCGUUCGUUUUCGACCAUCCCAGUUCUGGUUGGCCGAAGCUCAUCCUUGAUUUGCCUGCUUUCCCUUGCAGGUUGGUCUGCUGGGAGUGCUCGUGGCUUUGGUCGAUUUGUCCUGCUGUGUCUUCAGUCGCCGCUCUGCAGGUUCUGUCAAAUUGGUUUUAGUUAAUGUUUCUUGUGUACUGUGGAUACUAAGGGGCAAUUGGCACAACUACAAAACUCAGAGAAGUGAAAUCCACAUAUACUACCUGAAGAAGAGUUCUCUGUUCUCCUUUAGUUAUCACCUUUUGUCGUUCUUUUAAUACUUAUGAUGCAAGAUAGUUCUCUGGGUUUGCUAUUUUACCUUACCAUACCUAAGAAUGGAGAUUCAUGUUGAGUGGC